ensembl:snoRNA small nucleolar RNA SNORA81
UCCUUCUCCAUAAAGCACCCUGCUAAAACUGCAGGAGCCAAGCCUCACAGGUUUAGCUCCUGUGGACAUGUAAGCAUGGGUACACCAGGGAAGGAGAGAAAAGCACAGGGUUGGAAAUGAGGCUUGGAUGGACCUCUUUCUUAAUGUCCAGUGUCCUUUUGUCUCGAGAUCCUGUGUCACACAC